rnacentral:rRNA from 1 species
UACAGAGGUCCCAAGCGUUGUUCGGAUUUAUUGGGCGUAAAGAGCUCGUAGGCGGCUCGGUAAGUCGGAUGUGAAACCUCCAGGCUCAACCUGGAGACGCCAUCUGAUACUGCCGUGGCUUGAGUCCGGUAGAGGAGCAGGGAAUUCCUGGUGUAGCGGUGAAAUGCGCAGAUAUCAGGAGGAACACCAGCGGCGAAGGCGCUGCUCUGGGCCGGUACUGACGCUGAGGAGCGAAAGCGUGGGGAGCAAACAGG